GAUGAACGCUGGCGGCGUGCCUAAUACAUGCAAGUCGAGCGAAUGGAUUAAGAGCUUGCUCUUAUGAAGUUAGCGGCGGACGGGUGAGUAACACGUGGGUAACCUGCCCAUAAGACUGGGAUAACUCCGGGAAACCGGGGCUAAUACCGGAUAACAUUUUGAACCGCAUGGUUCGAAAUUGAAAGGCGGCUUCGGCUUUCACUUAUGGAUGGACCCGCGUCGCAUUAGCUAGUUGGUGAGGUAACGGCUCACCAAGGCAACGAUGCGUAGCCGACCUGAGAGGGUGAUCGGCCACACUGGGACUGAGACACGGCCCAGACUCCUACGGGAGGCAGCAGCAGGGAAUCUUCCGCAAUGGACGAAAGUCUGACGGAGCAACGCCGCGUGAGUGAUGAAGGCUUUCGGGUCGUAAAACUCUGUUGUUAGGGAAGAACAAGUGCUAGUUGAAUAAGCUGGCACCUUGACGGUACCUAACCAGAAAGCCACGGCUAACUACGUGCCAGCCGUCGCUGUAA
rnacentral:rRNA from 1 species